GUUAUAUGGUCAAGCGAAUAAGCGCACACGGUGGAUGCCUAGGCGGUCAGAGGCGAUGAAGGACGUGGUAGCCUGCGAAAAGUGUCGGGGAGCUGGCAACAAGCUUUGAUCCGGCAAUAUCCGAAUGGGGAAACCCACUGCUUCGGCAGUAUCCUGCAGUGAAUUCAUAGCUGCUGGAAGCGAACCCGGUGAACUGAAAUAUCUAAGUAACCGGAGGAAAAGAAAUCAACCGAGAUUCCCUAAGUAGUGACGAGCGAACGGGGAGCAGCCCUUAAGCUGGAAUGGCUUUAGAAAAACAAUCUGGAAAGAUUGGCCAUAGAAGGUGAUAGCCCUGUAUUUAAAAGGGCCACUCCAGUGAAGACGAGUAGGGCGGGGCACGUGAAACCCUGUCUGAAUAUGGGGGGACCAUCCUCCAAGGCUAAAUACUCCUGACCGACCGAUAGUGAACCAGUACCGUGAGGGAAAGGCGAAAAGAACCCCGGAGAGGGGAGUGAAAUAGAUCCUGAAACCGUGUGCGUACAAGCAGUAGGAGCUCGCAAGAGUGACUGCGUACCUUUUGUAUAAUGGGUCAGCGACUUACUGUUCGUGGCAAGCUUAACCGUAUAGGGGAGGCGAAGGGAAACCGAGUCUGAUAAGGGCGCAUAGUCGCGGGCAGUAGACCCGAAACCGGGUGAUCUAGUCAUGGCCAGGGUGAAGGUGCCGUAACAGGUACUGGAGGCCCGAACCCACGUCUGUUGCAAAAGACGGGGAUGAGCUGUGAUUAGGAGUGAAAAGCUAAUCGAACCCGGAGAUAGCUGGUUCUCCUCGAAAGCUAUUUAGGUAGCGCCUCGGACGAAUACUACUGGGGGUAGAGCACUGUUAUGGCUAGGGGGUCAUCGCGACUUACCAAACCAUUGCAAACUCCGAAUACCAGUACGUACUAUCCGGGAGACACACGGCGGGUGCUAACGUCCGUCGUGAAAAGGGAAACAACCCAGACCCACAGCUAAGGUCCCAAAUUCACUGCUAAGUGGAAAACGAUGUGGAAAGGCAUAGACAGCCAGGAGGUUGGCUUAGAAGCAGCCACCCUUUAAAGAAAGCGUAAUAGCUCACUGGUCGAGUCGGUCUGCGCGGAAGAUUUAACGGGGCUAAGCAGUGAACCGAAGCUUGGGGUGCGUAAAACUUCGGUUUUAUGCGCGGUAGAGGAGCGUUCCGUAAGCCUGCGAAGGUGGAUUGAGAAGUCUGCUGGAGGUAUCGGAAGUGCGAAUGCUGACAUGAGUAACGAUAAUGCGGGUGAAAAGCCCGCACGCCGAAAGCCCAAGGUUUCCUUGCGCAACGUUAAUCGACGCAGGGUUAGUCGGUCCCUAAGGCGAGGGCGAAAGCCGUAGUCGAUGGGAAGCAGGUUAAUAUUCCUGCACCUCGCGUGAGUGCGAUGGAGGGACGGAGAAGGUUAGGUGUACCGGGCGUUGGUUGUCCCGGGGAAAGGCGGUAGGUUUGGAUCUUUGGCAAAUCCGGGAUCCUUUAAGACCGAGCACCGAGACGAGUCUUUAUGGCGAAGUCACUGAUACCACGCUUCCAGGAAAAGCUCCUAAGCUUCAGCUCACGAAGACCGUACCGUAAACCGACACAGGUGGGUAGGAUGAGAAUUCUCAGGCGCUUGAGAGAACUCGGGUGAAGGAACUAGGCAACAUGGCACCGUAACUUCGGGAGAAGGUGCACCCUUUUUGGUGGCUCAUGCGAGCUAUAGCUGAAGAGGGUCGCAGAAACCAGGCCGCUGCGACUGUUUAUCAAAAACACAGCACUCUGCAAACACGAAAGUGGACGUAUAGGGUGUGACGCCUGCCCGGUGCUGGAAGGUUAAUUGAUGGGGUCAGCCGCAAGGCGAAGCUCUUGAUCGAAGCCCCAGUAAACGGCGGCCGUAACUAUAACGGUCCUAAGGUAGCGAAAUUCCUUGUCGGGUAAGUUCCGACCUGCACGAAUGGCGUAACGACAGCGGCGCUGUCUCCACCCGAGACUCAGUGAAAUUGAAAUCGCUGUGAAGAUGCAGCGUUCCCGUGGCAAGACGGAAAGACCCCGUGAACCUUUACUAUAGCUUUACACUGAACGUUGAGUUCGUCUGUGUAGGAUAGGUGGGAGGCUAUGAAACUGUGGCGCUAGCUGCAGUGGAGCCAUCCUUGAAAUACCACCCUGUCGUGCUUGACGUUCUAACCUAGGUCCGUUAUCCGGAUCAGGGACCGUGUAUGGUGGGUAGUUUGACUGGGGCGGUCUCCUCCUAAAGAGUAACGGAGGAGCACGAAGGUACGCUCAGCGCGGUCGGACAUCGCGCACUGUGUGCAAAGGCAUAAGCGUGCUUGACUGCAAGAUCGACGGAUCAAGCAGGUACGAAAGUAGGUCUUAGUGAUCCGGUGGUUCUGUAUGGAAGGGCCAUCGCUCAACGGAUAAAAGGUACUCCGGGGAUAACAGGCUGAUACCGCCCAAGAGUUCAUAUCGACGGCGGUGUUUGGCACCUCGAUGUCGGCUCAUCACAUCCUGGGGCUGUAGUCGGUCCCAAGGGUAUGGCUGUUCGCCAUUUAAAGUGGUACGCGAGCUGGGUUCAGAACGUCGUGAGACAGUUCGGUCCCUAUCUGCCAUGGGCGUUGGAAGUUUGAGAGGGGCUGCUCCUAGUACGAGAGGACCGGAGUGGACGAACCUCUGGUGUUCCGGUUGUCACGCCAGUGGCAUUGCCGGGUAGCUAUGUUCGGAAGCGAUAACCGCUGAAAGCAUCUAAGCGGGAAGCGCGCCUCAAGAUGAGACUUCCCGGGGCACAAGCCCCCUAAAGGAACCAUGUAGACUACGUGGUUGAUAGGUCAGGUGUGUAAGUACAGCAAUGUAUUGAGCUAACUGAUACUAAUGAUCCGUGCGGCUUGACCAUAUAACCUCA
rnacentral:rRNA from 2 species